rnacentral:rRNA from 1 species
AGCGAACGCUGGCGGCAGGCUUAACACAUGCAAGUCGAGCGGGCCCUUCGGGGUCAGCGGCGGACGGGUGAGUAACGCGUGGGAACGUGCCUUCUGGUCUGGAAUAACCCUGGGAAACUAGGGCUAAUACCGGAUACGCCCUUUUGGGGAAAGGUUUACUGCCGGAAGAUCGGCCCGCGUCUGAUUAGCUAGUUGGUGGGGUAACGGCCUACCAAGGCGACGAUCAGUAGCUGGUCUGAGAGGAUGAUCAGCCACACUGGGACUGAGACACGGCCCAGACUCCUACGGGAGGCAGCAGUGGGGAAUAUUGGACAAUGGGCGCAAGCCUGAACCAGCCAUGCCGCGUGAGUGAUGAAGGCCUUAGGGUUGUAAAGCUCUUUUAUCCGGGACGAUAAUGACGGUACCGGAGGAAUAAGCCCCGGCUAACUUCGUG